AUGCCCCAAAAGGCACAUCAACAGCUGAUGGUAGCUAGGGCUUCUCUAUUCACUAUAAUUAUCUGGCUCCAAACAAGAAUGCAAUUUCCUGGGCACCAAUGCUAUCCAUGUUAUGUAAUGGUCUCUCCUGCUUCCAUUAGUGACAGUAAGAGGCCCUUUGUGACCGGAAAACUUUUAUGCAUGCACAUGUAUGCACACAUACUUACACACAAUAUUUCUGCCUUCAUUUCAUUGUUUAUCCAGUCAACAUUCAAGAGCCAGUUGUUCAGUUUCCAUGAAGCUGUGUCGUUCUGAGUUAGUUUCUCAAUUCGGAGUUCUAACUUGAUUGCACUGUGGUCUGAGAGACUGUUUGUUAUGAUUUCAGAUUUUUGCAUUUGCUGUGGAGUGAUUUACUUCCAAUUAUGUGGUCAAUUUUAGAGUAGGUGUGAUGUGGUGCUGAGAAGAAUGUGUAUUCUGUGGAUUUGAGGUGGAGAGUUCUGUAAAUGUCUAUCAGGUUUGCUUGUUCCAGGUCUGAGUUCAAGUCCUGGAUAUCCUUGUUGAUUUUCUGUCUGGUUGAUCGGUCUAAUAUUGACAGUGGAGUGUUAAAGUCUCCCACUAUUAUUGUGUGGGAGUCUAAGUCUCUUUGUAAGUCAUUAAGAACUUGCCUUAUAUCUCUGGGUGCUCCUGUAUUGGGUCCAUAUAUAUUUAGGAUCGUUAGUUCUUCUUGUUGUAUCAAUCCUUUUACCAUUAUGUAAUGUCCUUCUUUGUCUCUUUUGAUCUUUGUUGCUUUAAGGUCUAUUUUAUCAGAGGUGAGAAUUGCAACUCCUGCUUUUUUUUUGCUCUCAAUUUGCUUGGUAAAUCUUCCUCCAUCCCUUUAUUUUGAGCCUUUGUGUAUCAUUGCAUGUGAGAUGGGGUUUCCUGGGUACAGCACACUGAUGGGUUUUGGAUUUUUAUCCAAUUUGCCAGUCUGUGUCUUUUGAUUGGUGCCUUUAGCCCAUUUAUAUUUAGGGUUAAUAUUGUUAUGUGUGAAUUUGAUACUGCCAUUUUGAUGCUAGCUGACUGUUUUGCCCAUUAGUUGAUGCAGAUUCUUCAUUUUGUUUAUGCUCUUUAGCAUUUGGUAUGUUUUUGGAGUGGCUAGUACUGGUUGUUUCUGUCUAUGUGUAGUGCCUCUUUAAGGAGCUUUUGUAAAGUAGGCCUGGUGGUGACAAAAUCUCUGAGUACUUGCUUGUUCACAAAGGAUUUUAUUUUUCCUUCACUUAUGAAGCUUAGUUUGGCUGGAUAUGAAAUUCUGGGUUGAAAAUUCUUUUAUUUAAGGAUGUUGAAUAUUGGCCCCCACUCUCUUCUAGCUUGUAGGGUUUCUGCCGAGAGAUCUGCUGUGAGUCUGAUGGGCUUCCCUUUGUGGGUGACCCGACCUUUCUCUCUGGCUGCCCUUAGCAUUUUUUUCUUCAUUUCAACCCUGGUGAAUCUGAUGAUUAUUUGCCUUGGGGUUGCUCUUCUUGAGGAAUAUCUUUGUGGUGUUCUCUAUAUUUCCUGGACUUGAAUAUUGACCUGACUUGCUGGGUAGGGGAAAUUUUCCUGCAUAAUAUCCUGAAGAGUAUUUUCCAGCUUGGAUUCAUUCUCUUCAUCACAUUCAGGUGCACCUAUCAAACAUAGAUUAGGUCUCUUCACAUAGUCCCACGUUUCUUGGAGACUUUGUUCAUUCUUUUUUGUGCUUUUUUCUCUAAUCUUGCCUUCUCGUUUUAUUUCAUUGAGUUGAUCUUCGACCUCUGAUAUCCUUUCUUCUGCUUGGUCAAUUCAGCUGUUGAAACUUGUGCAUGCUUCGCAAAGUUCUCGUGUUAUGUUUUUCAGCUCCAUCAAUUCAGUCAUAUUUCUCUCUAAGUUGUCCAUUCUUGUUAUCAUUUCCUCAAAUCUUUUUUCAAGGUUCUUAAUUUCUUUGCAUUGAGUUAGAAUAUGUUCUUUUAGCUCACAGAAGUUUCUCAUUACCCACCUUAUGAAGUCUGAUUCUGUCAUUUCAUCACACUCAUUCUCCAUGAAGCUUUGUUCCCUUGCUGGUGAGAAGUUGUGAUCCCUUGUAGGAGGAGACGUGUUCUUCUUUGGGUGUUUUUCUCCUUUUUGCACUGGUUUCUUCCCUUUAUGGAUUUAUUCACCUGUUGUCUGUGUUGUUGCUGACUUUCCGAUUGGG
ensembl:lncRNA